GUCGGUGGUGUUUUGAGGGCCAAUCCGAAAGGUGAGGAAAUCUUCAAGGAGUGCACCAAGACUGAAACACUAACCGAUGUAAGGUGUAAAAAGAUGGUGAACAUCCUGGUUGCAGAUAUGAUGGAGCUGCAUGGGAGGGUUCCGCCAUCAUGUGUGAUGAGAAAUUACGCCCUGAGAAUUGUGACUUGUUUUCCAUACCUAAAAGAUCCAUUCUCCAAACCUGGAUAUGAUGCUUAGCUUAGCGGCAGUGGCUCAAGAGGUAGAGCAGGUCGUCCAGAAAUCGUAAGCUGUUUGGUGAGGAGUGCAGGGAGGCACUAUCUACAAUAAGACAUUCAACUGAUGAAUCCGUGGUCAAAG